AGAGUUUGAUCAUGGCUCAGAUUGAACGCUGGCGGCAGGCCUAACACAUGCAAGUCGAGCGGAUGAAGAGAGCUUGCUCUCUGAUUCAGCGGCGGACGGGUGAGUAAUGCCUAGGAAUCUGCCUGGUAGUGGGGGACAACGUCUCGAAAGGGACGCUAAUACCGCAUACGUCCUACGGGAGAAAGCAGGGGACCUUCGGGCCUUGCGCUAUCAGAUGAGCCUAGGUCGGAUUAGCUAGUUGGUGAGGUAAAGGCUCACCAAGGCGACGAUCCGUAACUGGUCUGAGAGGAUGAUCAGUCACACUGGAACUGAGACACGGUCCAGACUCCUACGGGAGGCAGCAGUGGGGAAUAUUGGACAAUGGGCGCAAGCCUGAUCCAGCCAUGCCGCGUGUGUGAAGAAGGUCUUCGGAUUGUAAAGCACUUUAAGUUGGGAGGAAGGGCAGUAAGUUAAUACCUUGCUGUUUUGACGUUACCGACAGAAUAAGCACCGGCUAACUUCGUGCCAGCAGCCGCGGUAAUACGAAGGGUGCAAGCGUUAAUCGGAAUUACUGGGCGUAAAGCGCGCGUAGGUGGUUCAGCAAGUUGGAUGUGAAAGCCCCGGGCUCAACCUGGGAACUGCAUCUGUGACUGCAUAGCUAGAGUACGGUAGAGGGGGAUGGAAUUCCGCGUGUAGCAGUGAAAUGCGUAGAUAUCAUGAGGAAUACCAGAGGCGAAGGCGGCUACCUGGACAAUUGCUGACGCUCAGGCACGAAAGCGUGGGGAGCAAAAGGGAUUAGAUACCCCUGUAGUCCACGCCCUAAACGGUGCAUACUAGGUCUUGGCGGAUUCGACCCCACCAGGGCCCAAGCUAACGCGUUAAGUGUGCCGCCUGAGGACUACGGCCGCAAGGCUAAAACUCAAAGGAAUUGAC
rnacentral:rRNA from 1 species